GACGAACGCUGGCGGCGUGCUUAACACAUGCAAGUCGAACGGAAAGGCCCUGCUUUGGUGGGGUGCUCGAGUGGCGAACGGGUGAGUAACACGUGAGUAACCUGCCCUUGACUUUGGGAUAACUUCAGGAAACUGGGGCUAAUACCGGAUAGGAGCUCCUGCUGCAUGGUGGGGGUUGGAAAGUUUCGGCGGUUGGGGAUGGACUCGCGGCUUAUCAGCUUGUUGGUGGGGUAGUGGCUUACCAAGGCUUUGACGGGUAGCCGGCCUGAGAGGGUGACCGGCCACGUUGGGCCUGAGCUACGGCCCAGACUCCUCCGGGAGGCAGCAGUGGGGAAUAUUGCACUAUGGGCGGAAGCCUGAUGCAGCAACGCCGCGUGCGGGAUGACGGCCUUCGGGUUGUAAACCGCUUUCGCCUGUGACGAAGCGUGAGUGACGGUAAUGGGUAAAGAAGCACCGGCUAACUACGUG
rnacentral:rRNA from 1 species